GUGCUCGCUUCAGCAGCUCAUGCACUAAAAUUGGUACGAUACAGAGAAGAUUAGCAUGGCCGCUAAGCAAGGAUGACAUGCAAAUUCGUGAAACAUUUCAUAUAUUU
ensembl:snRNA U6 U6 spliceosomal RNA